GACGAACGCUGGCGGCGUGCUUAACACAUGCAAGUCGAACGGAAAGGCCCUGCUUUUGUGGGGUGCUCGAGUGGCGAACGGGUGAGUAACACGUGAGUAACCUGCCCUUGACUUUGGGAUAACUUCAGGAAACUGGGGCUAAUACCGGAUAGGAGCUCCUGCUGCAUGGUGGGGGUUGGAAAGUUUCGGCGGUUGGGGAUGGACUCGCGGCUCAUCAGCUUGUUGGUGGGGUAGUGGCUUACCAAGGCUUUGACGGGUAGCCGGCCUGAGAGGGUGACCGGCCACAUUGGGACUGAGAUACGGCCCAGACUCCUACGGGAGGCAGCAGUGGGGAAUAUUGCACAAUGGGCGGAAGCCUGAUGCAGCAACGCCGCGUGCGGGAUGACGGCCUUCGGGUUGUAAACCGCUUUCGCCUGUGACGAAGCGUGAGUGACGGUAAUGGGCAAAGAAGCACCGGCUAACUACGUG
rnacentral:rRNA from 1 species